rnacentral:rRNA from 1 species
UAGGGAGGGGGCUAGCGUUGUUCGGAAUUACUGGGCGUAAAGCGCGCGUAGGCGGACUUUUAAGUCGGGGGUGAAAUCCCGGGGCUCAACCCCGGAACUGCCUUCGAUACUGGGAGUCUGGAGUUCGAGAGAGGUGAGUGGAAUUCCGAGUGUAGAGGUGAAAUUCGUAGAUAUUCGGAGGAACACCAGUGGCGAAGGCGGCUCACUGGCUCGAUACUGACGCUAAGACGCGACAGCGUGGGGAGCAAACAGG